rnacentral:rRNA from 1 species
AUUGAACGCUGGCGGCAGGCCUAACACAUGCAAGUCGAGCGAGCGGCGGACGGGUGAGUAAUGUAUGGGGACUGCCCGAUAGAGGGGGAUAACUACUGGAAACGGUGGCUAAUACCGCAUACUAUCGGAUAACCCAUAUGGGAUUAGCUAGUGGGUGGGGUAAAGGCUCACCUAGGCGACGAUCUCUAGCUGGUCUGAGAGGAUGACUAGCCAACCUGGGACUGGAACACGGCCCGGAAUCCUACGGAGGAAGCAGUGGGGAAUAUUGGCAAAGGGGGGCAAACCUGAUGGAGCCAUGCCGGGGGUAGGAAGAAGGCCUUAGGGUUGUAAAGUACUUUCAGCGGGGAGGCGUUACCCACAGAAGAAGCACCGGCUAACUCCGUGCCAGCAGCCGCGGUAAUAC